UACAGAGGUCCCAAGCGUUGUUCGGAUUCACUGGGCGUAAAGGGUGCGUAGGUGGCGUGGUAAGUUUGAUGUGAAAGCUCAGGGCUCAACCCUGAAAUGGCAUUGAAUACUACUAUGCUGGAGGUUUGGAGGGGGGACUGGAAUUCUUGGUGUAGCAGUGAAAUGCGUAGAUAUCAAGAGGAACACCAGUGGCGAAGGCGAGUCCCUGGACAACACCUGACACUGAGGCACGAAAGCCGGGGGAGCAAACAGG
rnacentral:rRNA from 1 species